ensembl:misc_RNA Metazoa_SRP Metazoan signal recognition particle RNA
GCUGUGAUGGUGUGUGUGCCUGUAGUCCCAGCUACUCAGGGGCUUAGUCCAGAAGUUCUGGGCUGUAGUGUGCUAUGCCCAUUAGGUGUCCACACUAAGUCUGGCAUCAGUAUGGUGAUCUCUCGGGGAAUUGGAGUCCACCAGGUUACCUAAGGAGACGUGAACUGGCCCAGGUCAGAAACUAAGUACUUCAAAACUCCCAUGUUGGUCAGUAGUGGGACUGUGCCUUUGAAUAGCCCCUGCACUCUAGCCUGGACAACAUAGCAAGACU